rnacentral:rRNA from 1 species
CACGUGAGGGGGCAAGCGUUGUCCGGAUUUAUUGGGCGUAAAGAGCUCGUAGGUGGUUUCGGUAAGUCGAGGUGUGAAACCUCCAGGCUCAACCUGGAGACGCCACUUGAUACUGCUGUGACUGGAGUCCGGUAGGGGAGCGUGGAAUUCCUGGUGUAGACGGUGAAAUGCGCAGAUAUCAGGAGGAACACCAGCGGCGAAGGCGGCGCUCUGGGCCGGUACUGACACUGAGGAGCGAAAGCGUGGGGAGCGAACAGG